rnacentral:rRNA from 1 species
AUACGGAAGGUCCGGGCGUUAUCCGGAUUUAUUGGGUUUAAAGGGAGCGUAGGCGGGGCGUUAAGCGUGCUGUGAAAAGCCGCGGCUCAACCGUGGUCGUGCAGCGCGAACUGUCGCCCUUGAGUGCGCGGGAGGCACGCGGAAUUCGUGGUGUAGCGGUGAAAUGCUUAGAUAUCACGAGGAACGCCGAUUGCGAAGGCAGCGUGCCGUAGCGUUACUGACGCUGAAGCUCGAAGGUGCGGGUAUCGAACAGGAUUAGAUACCCUGGUAGUCCGCACGGUAAACGAUGGAUGCCCGCUGUCCGCCCCUUGCGGCGGGUGGCCAAGCGAAAGCGUUAAGCAUCCCACCUGGGGAGUACGCCGGCAACGGUGAAACUCAAAUGAAUUGACGGGG